AACGGCCGUACCGUGCUGAAUAUACCGGUUCUCGUUAGAUCAUCGAAGUGAAGCAUCAUUGGGCGCGGUCAGUACUUGGGUGGGUGACCACCUGGGAACACCGCGUGCCGUU
rnacentral:rRNA from 1 species